rnacentral:rRNA from 1 species
UAGGGAAUAUUGCAAAAUGGGCGAAAGCCCGAUGCAGCAACGCCGCGUGGGCGAUGAAGGCCUUCGGGUCGUAAAGCCCUUUUUGAGGGGAUGAGGAAGGACAGUACCCUCAGAAUAAGCCUCGGCUAACUACGUGCCAGCAGCCGCGGUAAAACGUAGGAGGCGAGCGUUAUCCGGAUUUACUGGGCGUAAAGCGCGUGCAGGCGGAUUGGAGAGUUGGAUGUGAAAGCUCCCGGCUUAACUGGGAGAGGUCGUUCAAUACUUCCAGUCUUGAGUGCAGUAGAGGGAAGUGGAAUUCCAGGUGUAGUGGUGAAAUGCGUAGAUAUCCGGAGGAACACCAGUGGCGAAAGCGGCUUCCUGGACUGUAACUGACGCUCAGACGCGAAAGCUAGGGUAGCAAACG